rnacentral:rRNA from 1 species
CCUACGGUAGGCAGCAGUGAGGAAUAUUGGUCAAUGGGCGGGAGCCUGAACCAGCCAAGUCGCGUGAGGGAAGACGGUCCUAUGGAUUGUAAACCUCUUUAGGCGGGGAGCAAUGCCGGGCACGUGUGCCCGGAGGGAGAGUACCCGCAGAAUAAGCAUCGGCUAACUCCGUGCCAGCAGCCGCGGUAAUACGGAGGAUGCGAGCGGUAUCCGGAUGUAGUGGGUGUAAAGGGUGCGUAGGCGGAUUUUUAAGUCAGCGGUAAAAUGUCCGGGCUCAACCCGGGCCGGCCGUUGAAACUGGGGAUCUUGAGUGGGCGAGAAGUAUGCGGAAUGCGUGGUGUAGCGGUGAAAUGCAUAGAUAUCACGCAGAACUCCGAUUGCGAAGGCAGCAUACCGGCGCCCGACUGACGCUGAGGAACGAAAGCGUGGGGAUCGAACAGGAUUAGAUACCCCGGUAGUC